rnacentral:rRNA from 1 species
GAUGAACGCUGGCGGCGUGCUUAACACAUGCAAGUCGAACGAAGCACUUUAUUUGAUUUCCUUCGGGACUUAUUAUUUUGUGACUGAGUGGCGGACGGGUGAGUAACGCGUGGGUAACCUGCCUUGUACAGGGGGAUAACAGUUGGAAACGGCUGCUAAUACCGCAUAAGCUCACAGCAUCGCAUGAUGCAUUGUGAAAAACUCCGGUGGUAUAAGAUGGACCCGCGUUGGAUUAGCUAGUUGGUGAGGUAACGGCCCACCAAGGCGACGAUCCAUAGCCGAGCUGAGAGGGUGACCGGCCACAUUGGGACUGAGACACGGCACAAACUCCUACGGGAGGCAGCAGUGGGGAAUAUUGCACAAUGGGCGAAAGCCUGAUGCAGCGAGGCCGCGUGAGCGAAGAAGUAUUUCGGUAUGUAAAGCUCUAUCAGCAGGGAAGAUAAUGACGGUACCUGACUAAGAAGCACCGGCUAAAUACGUG